rnacentral:pre_miRNA from 1 species
GGCGGGGAGGUUGAACAUCCUGCAUAGUGCUGCCAGGAAAUCCCCAUUUUAUACUAAGAGGGGGCUGGCUGGUUGCAUAUGUAGGAUGUCCCAUCUCCCCGCCCGCUUC